ACUCCAGACUCCUACGGGAGGCAGCAGUGGGGAAUAUUGGGCAAUGGACGCAAGUCUGACCCAGCAACGCCGCGUGAAGGAAGAAGGCUUUCGGGUUGUAAACUUCUUUUAAGGGGGAAGAGCAGAAGACGGUACCCCUUGAAUAAGCCACGGCUAACUACGUGCCAGCAGCCGCGGUAAUACGUAGGGGGCAAGCGUUAUCCGGAAUUACUGGGUGUAAAGGGAGCGUAGACGGUAAUGCAAGUCUGGAGUGAAAGGCGGGGGCCCAACCCCCGGACUGCUCUGGAAACUGUGUAACUGGAGUGCAGGAGAGGCAGGCGGAAUUCCUAGUGUAGCGGUGAAAUGCGUAGAUAUUAGGAGGAACACCAGUGGCGAAGGCGGCCUGCUGGACUGUAACUGACGUUGAGGCUCGAAAGCGUGGGGAGCAAACAGGAUUAGAUACCCGUGUAU
rnacentral:rRNA from 1 species